UACGUAGGCAGCAAGCGUUGUUCGGAAUUACUGGGCGUAAAGAGUGUGUAGGUGGUGUCGUAAGUUUGGUGUGAAAUCUCCCGGCUUAACUGGGAGGGUGCGCCGAAGACUGCGAUGCUGGAGUAUGGGAGAGGAAAGCGGAAUUCCUGGUGUAGCGGUGAAAUGCGCAGAUAUCAGGAGGAACACCGAUGGCGAAGGCAGGUCUCUGGGCCAUAACUGACGCUGAGAAGCGAAAGCAUGGGGAGCGAACAGG
rnacentral:rRNA from 1 species